rnacentral:rRNA from 1 species
UCCGUGGCUACGACGGAACGAACGCUGGCGGCGUGCCUAACACAUGCAAGUCGAGCGGGGACUUGGGAGCUUGCUCCCGGGUUCUAGCGGCGGACGGGUGAGUAACGCGUGAGGAACCUGCCUUUCAGUGGGGGACAACAGUUGGAAACGACUGCUAAUACCGCAUAAUGUAUUCGGACCGCAUGAUCUGAAUACCAAAGCUUUAUGUGCUGAAAGAUGGCCUCGCGUCUGAUUAGCUAGUUGGUGGGGUAACGGCCCACCAAGGCGACGAUCAGUAGCCGGUCUGAGAGGAUGAACGGCCACAUUGGGACUGAGAUACGGCCCAGACUCCUACGGGAGGCAGCAGUGGGGAAUAUUGGGCAAUGGGGGAAACCCUGACCCAGCAACGCCGCGUGAAGGAAGAAGGCCUUCGGGUUGUAAACUUCUUUUACCAGGGACGAAGGACGUGACGGUACCUGGAGAAAAAGCAACGGCUAACUACGUG